CUAAGACAUUGCUCCUAACAAUCGUCGUCACCGUCACCGACUUCUCCACUUUGCCUUCAUCUUUCAAAGUAUCCUUUUCACUGUUUUAAUCAGGACCCACUUUUCUUAUUCAAUGCCUAUUGUAAGAUUUCUAGAGAUGUUAACGUUUCACCUCCUUUCCUUUCUCUUCUUAUAUAAAUCUCUUCCUCGAAUCUACAUCCAACUACAUUCCACAACAUCCAAAAAGUGACGUCAAGCGAUUCGGUUCAAAUCCCUGGGAAUUGGAGAGAUUACAAAUCUCAAAAUUAAACUGUCCAGCGAGGAGGGACAUCCUUGUUGGGGAAAAAUAUCCAGACAUGAGUUUUCUCCAGCUUCCGGCUAUGUCCUCGACUUCCGGACCCUUGCUCAAGAAGAAACCAGGAACUGACCCCUGCCUUGGGUCUGACCCCUAGAUCGGACCGACCCCUUGGAGUAAAAUAGAAGUUUUCUACCUAAGGGGAAACUUCCAUUUUUCUGAUUAUGGAAGAGUUCUAUUACUUGAAGCCGACAUCUACAACUAUAAAAGGGGAGCCCAAACCCUAGAAUAAGGGAUCGACUUUCGGAGGCUAGAAGAUUAGAGUUUAGGCGACUAGUACUAGGGUUUAGACACCCAAACAUUGUAGUCCCGAUCAAAACACUCAAUAACAUCUUCUAGUUUACGAUUUCUCUUGCUUUCAUACAAAUCCUCUAGUGUUCCGUAGCACUUAAACGAUCCUACACAAAAAUACCCUAACAGUUUGGCGCUAGAAGGAGGGAGUGAUCCAACUACGUGACGAUGGCAUUAGAGGACGACGCUAACCAGACGGAGAUGACUCCGAGAGAGAUCGAGCUCCUCAACAAGCUCGAGUUUCUUCAGAGUCAGGUUACCGAUCUUCACAAAUCUCGGGAGGCAACACCCGGAGGUCCCGAACUUCUCCUUGAAGUUCAAAACCUAAAAGACAAACUUGGAGAGCACUCCAAGCAACUACAGCAAAGCGCCGAGAAGCUAUACGCCAUAGAGGCGGAGAAUCUUGUCCUCCGACAAGAGAACCAUACCCUCGGUGAAGCUAGCAACAAGCGAAAGCGGUUUCGGACUAAGGUACGACCCAUGGCUUCACUCUACACUCCGCGCGACAGUGAAGAGGUACCUCGUCGACCCGCCUCAACCAAAGACGAACCCGAAAGCCGAGAAGCCACGAACGAUAGGACCCAAGUACAAGUAGAUAGCGAUUCCGAUACGGAGUACGAGGAGUAUUCACCCAAUGAUCCCGAUAUCUCAGAUCCAGCCCUAGCAGCCUACUUAGAAAGAGUAGUCUUCGAAAGGUCCGUCACCAUUCAAUCUAUGGUAGAAAGGCUCCCAGGGCACCUCCUCCUAUUCGAAGAAGCAAUCAGGGGUCCUACUCUGAUACACCUUUCGUGGAAGAGAUUGCUUUGGUGGAGAUGCCGCGAAAGUUCUCUUUCCCAAGCAUAAAGAUGUACGAAGGUACUGGGGACCCCGACAAUCACAUUGCUCAGUACAAGUAACGCAUGCUAGCAGUAGCAAUUCCUCGGGAUGCACGGGAAGCUACCAUGUGCAAAGGAUUCGGAUCGACCUUGACCGGCCCCGCUCUUCAAUGGUAUAUCAAGCUGCCCACCAAAUCAAUCAAAUCCUUUGCAGCCCUUAGCGAUAAGUUCGUGGAGCAGUUCGCUAGCAGCCAUGACCUAGAGAAGAACUCGGAUGAUCUCUAUGAGAUCCUCCAGCAUAGGAAUGAGCCCCUUCGUUCUUACAUAGCUCGCUUCAACCAAGCGAAGGUAGCUAUUCCUGAGUGCAACGCUGAUACGGCUAUCUCAGCCUUCAAGAGGGGUCUACUUCCAGAGGGAGACCUUUACAAGGAGCUGAUCAAAUACAAGUGCAUGAUUAUGGAAGACGUGCUGUCUCGUGCUUGGGCUCAAGUAAGAUGGGCAGAAGAUGUUGCUAGUAGGGCUAAAGCCGGUCCGAACACUACAAGAAAUAUGAGUAUUGGUAGCAGUUCACAGUAGCACGAAUUCACUAACUGCUACCAAAAAUGCCAAAAUCUGAUCAUAACUAUACAGUAGCACUAAAUCCGCGCUAAGAUAGAAUUUUAUUAAGCGGGAAAGCAAAAAUAACUACUAUAGGUGAACAUUUGUUUUGGAGCCAAUACUUAGCCAAUUUUUUGGGUUUACCUUAGCUUCUUACCAGGAAAAAUAACUCUUCUCUUUAAAAAAAAAAAAAAAAAAAAGAGAGAGUUCAUCUCUCGUCGUCUCUGGCCCGUUUCCCCUCUCGAGCUCCGACCACUACUCUGUGGUCUCCACUCACCGGCAAUCGAACACGGUGGCGCAUCUUGUCCACUCUCGAGCCUCGCCGCCGUGUCUAUGCUCCUCAAUCCGCCGCUCUCUGCUUCACACCGCAACAGUGUCGCCGUCGUUUGUCACGUCGGAGCUCUCAUCCAUCGCUGAGUCGGUGACAAAACCACAACACGAUAGCACCUGCUCCAAAUCAAGCUUCUCUGGCGCGUUCUUGCUUCACAACCGGCAUCUCCGUCUUGUUCCGUUCUCGUCGUCACCGGAAUCAAAACUGUAGAAGAGCAACCAUGGCAUUUCGACAAAAGGUAAACAAGUUUCAACAUGCUCAGAAGGGAUUGAAUGCUUCAAGGUCAAAAGACUCUCAAGUGUUAAAGAAGCUAAGAAAAGAAGCAUUCUUCUCGGAGUUGAGAAAAACGAAAAGAGACUCCAAGGCUCAAAAAGCUUCAAAUUCCACUGAAGACGAAGCUCCUGCUUGAGCUGCAGUAUCAUUUGCUUUGAGAGAUCGCAAGCUUGCAAUCUUCUUUGCAUAGUCUGUAUCAGAUGUUGUUGCAGUCUUAAUUGGGGGAUCUGGAACUUCAUCUUUCACCACCUCCCAUAGCUCUCUGUUCAUCAGUGUGGUGUGCAUCGUUACUGCCCAGAACUCGUGGUUUGAUAUCUUGUUCAUCGAUUCAUUGAUGUUUUUAUGCCCAA